GGAAUGUGCUGCAAGGCGCUGCCUCGCUCUGGAGCCAGACGAGAGGCCGGAGCAUCCGCCCCAACAUGGCUGGCUGUGUGAGCCUCAGGAACGCUGGCAGCUCUGCAAGACUCUCUGCCAUCUGCAAAAUAAGUAUGAAGAUAUGGUUUCCACACCAAUGUUAGGCCUUCUCAAGGAGCUUAGAGUGUGUCGGUGGAGAGGGAGAAGCCCAACGGGAGAUCUUAUUCCACCUCUGCACGUCUUCAGGACCCCUGUGGAAACAUGUGAUCUCUAACAGUCUCUCUGGGGCUCUGCCCACCCCCAGCAGUGUCACCUCACAUCACCGCACAAUAAGAACUUUCUCAUCAUGAACAUAGCUUUCUCUGGAGAAGCUGGGAAGUGCUUAACUAUGCCAGAAGCUGGACAAUUCAGGUAGAAGUGUAAAUGUUGGCCUAACCUUCAAAGGACAGAAAUAGCUUUCUUUGAAAGUUCUCAAAGGUGUUUCAGAACUCUGGAAAAUUUUAAAUCUUAAAAUAACA
rnacentral:lncRNA from 10 species